CAGGAUACAAAGCCACCUCACGCAUGAAAAUGAGAGUUGCCCCACCGUUCAGUGGUAUUUUCUCCUACUCACAGAAGACUGCCAUUCACUUGUUGCCAUUUCUGCUAAUGAUGACUUACUCAGCAGCAGGGAGCAGAAGAGGACCUUUGAUUGUGCUUGAUGGAUAUGAAGACAGUGCGAUCAAACUCAUCUGCACAUCUGGAGAGAGUCAAUCUCCUGAGUUCCAGCUAUCAUGGAUGGAUGGCAAAGGACAGGAACUUCCUGCUACUCCAGCCACCCUGGAAAGUGCCAGCAUGGCAAGUUCUGUUCUUCUAA